rnacentral:rRNA from 1 species
AAACCACCAGGGAUUGCCUUAGUAACGGCGAGUGAAGCGGCAAAAGCUCAAAUUUGAAAUCGGCCCCCAGGUCGAGUUGUAAUUUGUAGAUUGUAUCUUGAGAGCGGAUUAAAGUCUGUUGGAACACAGCGCCUUAGAGGGUGACAGCCCCGUAAAAUCUAUUCUCAUUGUAAGAUACUUUCGAAGAGUCGAGUUGUUUGGGAAUGCAGCUCUAAGUGGGAGGUAAAUUCCUUCUAAAGCUAAAUAUUGACGAGAGACCGAUAGCGAACAAGUACUGUGAAGGAAAGAUGAAAAGCACUUUGAAAAGAGAGUGAAAAAGUACGUGAAAUUGUUAAAAGGGAAGGGUAUUGAAUCAGACUUGGUGCUGUUGUUCAACUGUGUUUCGGCAUGGUGUACUCAGCAGUACUAGGCCAAGGUGGGGUGUUUGGGAGUGAAAAAGAAGUAGGAACGUAACUCUUCGGAGUGUUAUAGCCUACUUUCAUAGCUCCUCAGGCGCCUCAGGACUGCGCUUCGGCAAGGACCUUGGCAUAAUGAUUCUAUACCGCCCG